rnacentral:lncRNA from 1 species
ACCAUUAAUUUGGACUUGUAUUGCCACAACAUAAUCUUGCAACCAUCCAUCAUAACGACAAUCAAUGCCAUGCAAUUAUUUGCAUAUUUUGAUUUCCCCUUGUAGGGGACCAUGAUCUAGAUUGAUUAGAGGAUUACCUUAAUAUUUUCUGGACUCAAUUAAUUGGCAUGCAUUUGAUAAUUUAUGGAAUUGAAUGAUUAUUAUGAUUUUAGCUAGGUUUAUCCACCAGCGAGGG